rnacentral:rRNA from 1 species
UACAGAGGUCUCAAGCGUUUGUUCGGAUUCAUUGGGCGUAAAGGGUGUGUAGGUGGCGCCGUAAGUCGGGUGUGAAAUUUCGGAGCUUAACUCCGAAACUGCAUUCGAUACUGCGGUGCUUGAGGACUGGAGAGGAGACUGGAAUUCAUGGUGUAGCAGUGAAAUGCGUAGAUAUCGUAAGGAAGACCAGUGGCGAAGGCGGGUCUCUGGACAGUUCCUGACGUGAGGCACGAAGGUCAGGGGGAGCAAAACGGGG